GGAGCGAUGGUGUCGUGUUGUUUUGUGUUCCAACCCCAUUUCGCGGGUUUUGUUUACCGCUCGAGCGGGAGUAGUAGAAGCAAACAGCUUUGGCACCAAAGGGUUAUGGGCCAGGAGAGCGUGGGAUGUGUAGUAUGGUAAGGAGAAAACAAAGAGAGAGAGAGAGAGAGAGAGAGAGAGAGAGAGAGAGAGGGAGCGAAAUCCGAGAAACAGGGAGAGGAGACACCGCGACUAGUUAUAGACUAACGUUACACAUAUACGUAUAUGUACCUAUAACUGGGUGACUGGAGACUUGGCGCAACCUCUGACUAAAGAUAAGACCUUCGCGAGCUCACUACUGCCUCCAAAGCCGAAACCUCGCAAACCGCUUCUCGGAAGACUUUGCUACACUGCUGCUAUUGUAACUAAUUUCAUCGGGUGAAUCGUUACGAAAACGUCGUAUCAGACUCUAGUCUCGUCUGACUACAAUCGGCUUAUCGACGUACGCGACGUAGAAGCCGAUAUAUGUUCUCAUCUAAUUCCAUUGGCAAGAAGUUUAAGUGUGCCGGAGUCAACAGUCGAGUGAAACGUACACAGAAGUGAGGGAAGUUGGCGUUGCUCUCGCGCAGCGGUGUUGGUAGCGGUGAUGGUAUACGAUGAUCGUGCAUGGAAAGAGAGAACGAGAGGAAGUAGCUAGCUGUUCGGAGGGAUCCUCUAAUCUGUUAUCGUAAAAAUCCCGCUCACUCACUGGUGAGCCGCUUUAAAGCCAAAAAGGAGAAACGAGGACGAGACCGGUGAUCGCGGGAGAGAGAAAUAAAGGGAGAAAAUUGGGAGUAGGCAUAAGGGAGAGGAACCACCGAAAAAGAAGGGUACGUGUCCAUAUAUAUAUAUAUUUUCUCGUCACAUAAGGACGUGACACUCCUACGCGUUUUUUUUCCCCUCGAGAUGGAGAAGUAUCAAUAUCUCGCCUCACUGCCGCCCUCAUCGUAAAAUGAAAGUGAUAUGAAAAAAACAAAAAAAAAAAAAAAA